UAGUCAUAUGCUUGUCUCAAAGAUUAAGCCAUGCAUGUCUAAGCACAAGCCGAUUAAUGGUGAAGCCGCGAAUGGCUCAUUACAACAGCCACUGUUUACUUGAUCUUGACUAUCCUACUUGGAUAACUGUGGUAAUUCUAGAGCUAAUACACGCAAAACAGCUCCGACCUUACGGGACGAGCGCAUCUAUUAGACCAAAACCAAUCGGGCUUCGGCCUGAAACGUUGGUGACUCUGAAUAACUGAGCUGAUCGCAUGGUCUCGUACCGGCGACGUAUCAUUCAAGUGUCUGCCUUAUCAACUUUCGAUGGUAGUUUAUGUGCCUACCAUGGUUGUUACGGGUAACGGAGAAUAAGGGUUCGACUCCGGAGAGGGAGCCUGAGAAACGGCUACCACAUCCAAGGAAGGCAGCAGGCGCGCAAAUUACCCACUCUCGGCACGAGGAGGUAGUGACGAAAAAUAACGAGGCGGUUCUCUAUGAGGCCCGCUAUCGGAAUGAGUACAAUUUAAACCCUUUAACGAGGACCUAUGAGAGGGCAAGUCUGGUGCCAGCAGCC
rnacentral:rRNA from 1 species